rnacentral:rRNA from 1 species
UACGUAGGGUGCAAGCGUUAAUCGGAAUUACUGGGCGUAAAGCGUGCGCAGGCGGUUGUGCAAGACCGAUGUGAAAUCCCCGGGCUUAACCUGGGAAUGGCAUUGGUGACUGCACGGCUAGAGUGUGUCAGAGGGGGGUAGAAUUCCACGUGUAGCAGUGAAAUGCGUAGAGAUGUGGAGGAAUACCGGUGGCGAAGGCGGCAUCCUGGACCGGCAUUGACGCUGAGGCGCGAAAGCCAGGGGAGCAAACGGG